AGAGUUUGAUCCUGGCUCAGAUUGAACGCUGGCGGCAGGCCUAACACAUGCAAGUCGAGCGGUAGAGAGGAGCUUGCUCCUCUUGAGAGCGGCGGACGGGUGAGUAAUGCCUAGGAAUCUGCCUGGUAGUGGGGGAUAACGUUCGGAAACGGACGCUAAUACCGCAUACGUCCUACGGGAGAAAGCAGGGGACCUUCGGGCCUUGCGCUAUCAGAUGAGCCUAGGUCGGAUUAGCUAGUUGGUGAGGUAAUGGCUCACCAAGGCGACGAUCCGUAACUGGUCUGAGAGGAUGAUCAGUCACACUGGAACUGAGACACGGUCCAGACUCCUACGGGGGGCAGCAGUGGGGAAUAUUGGACAAUGGGCGAAAGCCUGAUCCAGCCAUGCCGCGUGUGUGAAGAAGGUCUUCGGAUUGUAAAGCACUUUAAGUUGGGAGGAAGGGCAGUAAAUUAAUACUUUGCUGUUUUGACGUUACCGACAGAAUAAGCACCGGCUAACUCUGUGCCAGCAGCCGCGGUAAUACAGAGGGUGCAAGCGUUAAUCGGAAUUACUGGGCGUAAAGCGCGCGUAGGUGGUUUGUUAAGUUGGAUGUGAAAUCCCCGGGCUCAACCUGGGAACUGCAUUCAAAACUGACUGACUAGAGUAUUGUAGAGGGUGGUGGAAUUUCCUGUGUAGCGGUGAAAUGCGUAGAUAUAGGAAGGAACACCAGUGGCGAAGGCGACCACCUGGACUAAUACUGACACUGAAGUGCGAAAGCGUGGGGAGCAAACAGGAUUAGAUACCCUGGUAGUCCACGCCGUAAACGAUGUCAACUAGCCGUUGGAAGCCUUGAGCUUUUAGUGGCGCAGCUAACGCAUUAAGUUGACCGCCUGGGGAGUACGGCCGCAAGGUUAAAACUCAAAUGAAUUGACGGGGGCCCGCACAAGCGGUGGAGCAUGUGGUUUAAUUCGAAGCAACGCG
rnacentral:rRNA from 1 species